AACGAACGCUGGCGGCAUGCCUAACACAUGCAAGUCGAACGAGACCGUCGGGUCUAGUGGCGCACGGGUGCGUAACGCGUGGGAACCUGCCCUUAGGUUAGGAAUAACUCCCCGAAAGGGGUGCUAAUACCGGAUAAUGUCUUCGGACCAAAGAUUUAUCGCCUUUGGAUGGGCCCGCGUUGGAUUAGCUAGUUGGUAGGGUAAAAGCCUACCAAGGCGACGAUCCAUAGCUGGUCUGAGAGGAUGAUCAGCCACACUGGGACUGAGACACGGCCCAGACUCCUACGGGAGGCAGCAGUGGGGAAUAUUGGACAAUGGGCGAAAGCCUGAUCCAGCAAUGCCGCGUGAGUGAUGAAGGCCUUAGGGUUGUAAAGCUCUUUUACCCGGGAUGAUAAUGACGGUACCGGGAGAAUAAGCUCCGGCUAACUCCGUG
rnacentral:rRNA from 1 species